GGCAGCACCAGGGGGUGGGCGUGGGCAGCCAUGGGAGAGAGAGGGCGAUAGGGGAGGGCCCCUGCUCACAGUCUCCUCCCUGCCUCCCUCUGCUCCCAGCCCAGCGCCUCCUGGCAAGAGCUUAUUUGCAUGGUAUUUACAUUUCAUUUGCAUCGCGUUCAAUUAAAAACCUGACCAGCUCCCGCCUGCCUGGCGCUGCCUGCCCAGCCUGGUGAAAACAUUGGUUGGGCAUUGUGUGCCGCCUCCCCUGGCGCCCCCCCCCCCCACCAUGGAUUGACUGAUGUGGGAGGGGUCCUCCCCUCAGUGACAUCACCUAAGUCACCCAUCCUAGGAUUGAGAGGGCUGGAAGUACAAAUGGAGAAACUGAGGUCCAGAAAGAGACGCCAGGAGCUCCAGGCUAAGUCCAGUCUCGAAGAAGAGCUAGAAGAAUUUUAGUAGUAACAACUGCCCCUUUAUGAAAGAAUUGCUGUGCCAGGAGUGGUGCCAGCACCUGGAUGUAAUAUCUCAUUUGAACUUUGCUACCCCUUGAAGUCAGGCCUUGCAUUACCCCCAUUUUACAGAGAAGAAAACCAAGGCUGGAGAGGGCAAGCCCAAGGUCACUUAGGUGACCCAGAAUUCAAAUCAUCAGUAUCACUUCCAAGUCUAUGUUCCAAACCCUGAGCAUGACUGCCAAAAGUACAGUGGCUGCCACCUCCUCCUGGUGAAACCUCCAGAGUCAUUAGCUCUACGACCAGCUACUGCAGCUCUCACCCUAACCUGGAGGCUGGUCCCGCUAUUGCCGGUUCUCUUGCUUCCUAACACUGACAGCCAUGCCCAUCCCUGGCUACAAGGUGGAAUACUGUCCCUGUAGAAGUUCUUCCUGGCACCUGGCCAUAGUCUUUCCUGUUGCAAGAUUGCCCUUCUUGGCAGUCAGAGCUGGUGACUUUGUAAAAGGCAAUUAAAGACCCUGAUAAUGAAACAAACACAAUGGGAAACUUAGAGCCGGGCUAAGGGUGAAGGAUGGGUGAAGAGAUCAGGCAGGCCCAUGAAGACAUGGGAGGCACCAGAGCAAGCUUGGGCAGGGGGAACCCUCAAGGCCCCUUCUGUCCUGGCCUUCUCACCUGGCCAGAGCUGGGCUGGUCGAUGCCAUCUACACGGGUGGGAACUCUUGGAAUUGGGGAGACUAGGGGUCCUCAGGCUGCCCAUGGAGAGGUCAUGCAGGACCCAGAAUUCAGCCCUAGAACUGGGGAGCCCUGGUGUUGAAAGGACUUCCGUCCCGUCCCCCCACACCCACCCCUCAGCCAAUUACCUUUCCUCCCCACCACCCUUAGGGCUCUGGCUGUGAGUAACCAUUCCACCUACCCCUGCUGCUGGAAGACCUGGCCAAUCAGCAGACUCCUCCUCCCUGACCACAGUGAUUAUUCAGGGAUGGACACAUGACCUAGGCCUGGCCAGUCGGGUUGAAUCCCAGAACUUUGGUUGGAAUUAUUGGGGUGAGAGGUUGUCUGAUCUGGUAGUGUGGGAAUUUGAGGCCGCCACCACUUGGGGAGAGCUCUUCAUGAAUGAAGCCAUAAAGGGAAACUGAUCCUUUUACUUGAAGCCAAACACUCUUUGGCUUGAGCCUCAAAAGGAACAAAUAGGUUUCAAUUUUGCUUAAGCCUGUGUGUGUUGGGUUUCUGUCACUUGCAUCCUAAGUCCUAAGCGGGUAGUGCAUGCCUUGCCCAUUCUGCCCUCAGCCUUUGCCCAUGCAGUUCUCCUCUGCCUAGAAUGCCUUCCUCUUGCCCUCUGCUCGCUAGGCAUACCUGCAUUGAGAGGUCCAGCUCACCUCUUCUCUAGGAAGCUCACUUCCAUUCUGUACCCAGCUCUCCUGGCUCCACUCUCCUGGGAGUGUUACCUGGAACUUCUGACCCCCAGCCUGGCGCUCAGCACCUAUGCCCAGAACUGCUGUGUUAUUUCCUUUUCCAGGGUUUGUGUCUCAUUGCCCCAAAGUGGAUUGUAAAUUCCUAGAUGGAGCUGAGUCCCCUCCUAAAGAGAGGAGUGAUAUAGUACAGUGAUUAGAAGCUUGGCUUUGGCAUCAGGCAGCCUCCGUUCAAAUUCUAGCCCGUCUGUGUGAUCUUUGAACCAGUCCCUCCACCUCUGAGCCUCAGUUUCCUGUUCUUUAAAAUGAGAAUUGAAUAAAUCUGCAUGAAAAAAAGUACUUAGCACAGUCGGUCCAUGAAUGUUUACUGGGUACCCACUCUGUGCCUAGAACUGAGGGUUCAUCUGUGUAGCACCCACAGGCAGGGGCCCCCUCCAGCCCCACUUCCUUCCAAGGCACUGGGGGCCCUUGGUGGGGGGAGUCCUGAUCAUCCCCUCCCCCUUCCUCCCCUCCCUGUCGUCCCUUGGAGCCUGCGCCGCUCAGAGUUAAUCUCCUCGCCCGUCAGGGGGUGACAGGAGGUGUCUGUCAUUCGAAGCCGAGGCCGUCAGCCUCGCUGGCUAAUUGGGGCGCAGGCGCCGGGAGCACGGGAAAUGGCCAGAGGGAAGGAGCGGGAAUGAGGGAAGGGAGGCUGCCCUCACCUCCUUCCCGCCAGGCUUGGGGCUGAUCCACAGGGCUCCUUAGGGGAGGGGGAAGGCCAAUCAGAGGAGGAAGGGGCCGUGGAAUGGGGACUCUGUGACCUUGGGCAUAUUGCUAUUCCUCUCUGGGCUUCAUAUUAUUAUUAUUCAUAAUGACAACAGUAAGCCUUUAUUGAGCAAUUACUGUGUAAAUCAGUUCCCAGCACGCCUGCUGAAAACCUCCAAUGGUUUUAUAUGGCCCUUGGAAUUAAAGCCAGGCUCCUACCAAGGUCCUUGAGGACCCCCAGUACCCAUGCCUCUACCCUCCCUGCUCCCUCUGCUCUAGCCACACCAGCCUCCCCACAGAGCAAGCUCUUCCUGCCUCAGGGCCUUUGCACUUGCUGUUUCUGCUCCUUGGAACACCCUUCCUCUGCCUUUCAGCAUGGUUGAUGACAACUCAUUAUUCAGGCCUCAGCUCAAAUGACACCUCGGAGAUAAGGUCCCUGACUACCAUAUCCAAAACCACCCUUCCCCACCUCCAGUUAUGCUGUUAUGUCACCCUGUUACAUUAUCCUAUUUAAACUUUCC
ensembl:lncRNA